rnacentral:rRNA from 1 species
CAGACGGUCCCAAGCGUUGUUCGGAUUCACGUGGGCGUAAAGGGUGCGUAGGUGGUAGGGUAAGUCGGAUGUGAAAUCUCCGAGCUCAACUACGGAAAUGGCAUUGGAAACUACCCUGCUAGAGGGUCGGAGGGGGGACUGGAAUACUUGGUGUAGCAGUGAAAUGCGUAGAUAUCAAGUGGAACACCAGUGGCGAAGGCGAGUCCCUGGACGACUCCUGACACUGAGGCACGAAAGCUAGGGGAGCAAACAGGAUUAGAUACCCUGGUAGUCCUAGCCGUAAACGGUGCACGUUUGCUGUAAAAGGAAUCGACCCCUUUUGUGGCGUAGCCAACGCGUUAAACGUGCCGCCUGGGAAGUACGGUCGCAAGAUUA